CAAUUCUGAACGAGAAUUUGAGUGGAAAAUACCGUUCUGGAUUUUUACCCUUUUCUUUUCUUUUAUUCUUUUCAAAAUUCUGUAAAAGUCUCAAACUCAAUCUUCAAUCGAAGAGUUUCGCAGGUACGACUACAAUCACUCAUCAACUACUUCAGGACUUUCUACAUCAGAUUCUUUGUGGUGUGGCUUACAAUCAUGCACACCAGGUUCUUUAUCGAUAUUUGUCUUUGCUAAUAGAUCUCCAAAAUAACAGAGUGAUGAAUUGACGAUUGUAGACUUUGGAUUGACUAUGGCAGUUGACAUUCCCUUUAAGGCGUACACUGAUAAGAAUUUAAUAAUCAUAUAUGACCAUUCUUGGUAUACCUUUAGCCUUAAUUUUCUCUACUCUUUCUGUUGGAUUUGUUGUGCUAGGUAUCCUCCUUAGUGGAGAUGGCCCAUUAAUUUUUACUUAAUCAUUAAUUAAGUAAAAUAAAGCCCAUACGAGUUAAGUUUUUAUGGAAGACCUAGAGGUAUUUUUGUCCUAAAAAUAUAAGUAUAAAAGGGUUUUAUACCCUUCCAAUGUUGCAGCCGUACAUAAGAAAAGGGGGAAAAAGAAAAGUGCAGAAAAUGGGAAAAAAUAUGCAGUCCAGUUUUGAUCAAGCGACUGUUUGGGGUUCGAUCUGUGGUCUGAUUUGGAUGAAAUUUGGUCAGCGUUUUCAUGGCGCACGGAUUUACAUUCUGAACGGUGGAGAUCAGUUUUAGAACUCUCUGUUAAUAGAUUUCUGCAGUAAUUGUCAUUACAGUCCAGUUUUGGUCAAGAGGCUGUUUGCGCUCCGAUCCGUGGUCAGAUUUGACUGAAAUUUUGUCAGCAUGUCCACAACGCACGGCUCUAAAAUGUGAACGGUAAAGAUCAGUUUUGGAGCUCUCUGUUAACAGGUUUUGAUGAUAUCUCUCCUACUUCUUAUUGUAGUUGUUUAGUUUUAAAAGUGGUUAUUCUUGAAGAGAUAUUAUUAUGUGCUUCUAGUUAUUGACAACUAAGGAAGACUUUUGUGUAUCUCCCAUUAUUUGUUAGUGUUUUACAUGGUUGAUGGUGAAAAUUAUCAUGUUAUUCAUUAACUCUUUCGAUUGCUAUAAUGCUAUUAAUUAACUACUAUAAACAAUUUAGUGGACUGGUCACUUUUCUACUAUCUCUUUGCAGGACUUUCUACAUCAGAUUCUUUGUGGUAUGGGUGGUGUGGCUUACUGUCAUGCACACCAGGUUCCUUACCGAUAUUUGUCUUUGCCGAAAAUAGCAGACUUUGGAUUAGCUAGGGCAGUUGGCAUUCCUUUAAGUCAUACAUUGAUGCAAUUUUAAUAAUCAUAUAUUACCAUUCUUGGUGUACCUUUAGCCUUAGUUUUCUCUACUCUUGAUGUUGGAUUGUCUACCUAGUUUGAUUAACCAAUUUAAAAAUAAUGUGUUAUGGUCUAGAUGAAUUAGUAAGUUAUUUUUUAUUACAGUUCUCUUUUCUUUAUUCAGUUAUUAUUUACAUUUAUGCAUUAAGGUAGUUAGGUGUAAUAGAAUGGUGAAAAUGGAAGUGAUAACUACUGUAGUUGUCACAAAUAUCAGUUGGAUAGCUUUAUAUAAAGCUAUAACCAUAAUGCUGAAAAGAUCAUAUGAGAAUUGAAUGAAUAUUUCAAAGUUUUAGUUUCUAUCUCAUUGCUGUCUAUUCUCCUCAGUUCCCUCUACUCUCUGUCAAUUUCUCCCUUAAUUCUGUAAGAUUCUCUCUCAUUUCUGUUAGAUUCUCCCUCAAUUCCAAUUAUGUCUUCAAGGUAAACACUAUUUAGAACUAGGGUCCUAAGAUUUGGUAUCAAAGCAACAAUUUCUCAGUCUUAGAUUUAGCCCUUUUCAGAUUUUCUCCAUGGCUGAAGGUUACCAGAUGCUCGAAGCUUCUACAAAUAGAUUUGAAAAGAAACUAGACGAACUUAUGAUCAUGAUGGCCAAACAGUAUCAAGUUAGUCUUUUAAUGAAAUUAUUUUAUAGGGAAUAUUCUGAUCUAGGUAUUCAACAAAAGAGACCAUUUCCUGUGAUAGUUGGAGAUCCACAAAAUAACUUGAUUCAUAGAACUCCGAAAGUCAACUUGUCAAAGGAUGUUCCGCCAAAGGAGAAGGAUGAUCAAAUUUUGGAAGGUAUUGAUGAUGUUGUUGUUAACAUUUCAUAUCCUAAGCAAUCUAUGGUUGAACAUAGCAAGUUGCCAAGUUCAAGCAACAACAAAGAUGUUCUUGACUAGGAUUUGAAUUUGUUCAAAUCAUAUGACCCUGUCUCCGUCACCUGUUCAAUGAACACAAUCAAAGAUCCUUUUCCAUUAAAGCAUCUCUCUCUACUUGAUCAUGGAGAUGUUCAUCCAUUUGUAGACAUUACUGAUCCAAAGGAUAUUAUAGUCCAAGGUGAAUCAAGUUUUGUAAAAAAAGGUCAAAAUAUUCCAACUAAACCAACCAAAGACCUUUCACUGGAGGUGGAAGAAAUGGAUACAUUAUGUAGUGAUCUAGUUCUAAAAGAGAGAAUUAGAGUAGAAUCCGUUCGUGCUGUCCAUUGUAUUGAUUAGAAGGGCUCAUAAGUACACACAUAUUGUGUGAGAUUAAGAAAAAUUGCUUGCAAAAUUGAAGUGGUUGAAAGAAUGGUAGAAGAAAAAGAAGGUGAAGCGAAUGGAUGAAAUAGGAAUGGUUAGUUAUUAUGAUUCUUUAGGGACAAUAAAUCUUAUUUAAGGGGAAAGAAUGUCACAACCUAAAUGAAUUAGGAAGUUAUUUUGUAGUUUUGAUAUCUUUGCUCAGUUAUUAAUUACAAUUAUGCAUUAGGGUAGAUAGGUGUAGUGGAGUAGUAGAGCGGUGAAAGUGAAAGGGAUAACUGUUAUAACUGCAACAAAAAAAAGUUGGAUAACUUUACAUAAAGUUAUAACCAUAGUGCUAAGAAGAUCAUAUGAUAAUUGAAUAAAUAUUUCAGAAUUAUACUUCCUCUCUCAUUGUUACUUGUCCCCCCUAUUAUUCUAUGUGUUUUUCUCUCAUUUUUGUCUGUAUCUUCCUCAAUUCCAAUUCUAUCUUCAAAGUAAACACUAGAGUUAGGACUAGGGUUGUGACAUAAUGCUCUUGGUGAUGUGAUCAUGAACCGUGCUCAUCACUUUUCUUCCUUUCCUUUUUCAUCUGAUAAUUUACACUCUUUCCUGGGUGAUGCUACUUGAUAGUGCAUACAUCCGGGGCAUGCAUGUUUAACUACUUAUCAUUACUUCCUGGGGUUUCAAUAACAAGGGGAUUUCAACCCUUCAAAAUAUAAACUUACCUUCAUCCUUGAGGCAAUACUAUUAAUUUUGUAGGGCUUCCUCCGCCUACAUUUUCCAGGGACUUUAAUGCAUCAUAUUUCAAGAAAGAGCCCACUAUUCAUUUGCUACUUCCCUUCAUCUGUAUUCUCAUUGGCCAUCUUCUGAUCUUCCAUGGAAACUAAGUCUGAAUCUGGAGCUGCAGAAGCUUUGCCUUCUUCAUUGGAUUUGUUGGAAGAAUUCUGAUUGCAGCUUGAUUUGGCUGCUGUACCUUUAGAAGGUUUAUUCUUUUCCGGAAACAACACGCUCAUGACGUCCCCUUUGCAAUGAGCAACUCUCAUGUCUACAAAAAUGGCGGCUGGAAUUGCAAUGUUGGGACAAUUCUCUCUCCAGCUCACUAUAACAAGAGGAUCCCCAAUCUUCACGAGCGCUUCUGCAAGUACAUUUGCAUUUACAUACAUCUGAGACAUAUGAUUCCACCUCCUAAGAACAUCUGAGAAUUCCCUCGGCAGCAGAUUAGUGAUAUCAUCCUUCCACAGCAACUCAUCAAGUAUAUUGAAAUAUCUGCCACUAUUCACAGCCAGCAAGCAUAAGGAUCUCCUUGAUUAUGCCAGCCACAAAUUCAAAAACGCCACUAAAAAUCUGAGUAUCAGGUACUGCAUUAGGAGUUUGGUUGGCAUUGGGUUGCCCAUAAAUAAGCCACUCAACAAGUGAAGAUUUUGUGAUGAAAAGGAGUCCAGUAGACCGAAAUGUCAAUACCAAAAGCCGAUCAACCAUAUACAAAAAACAACUGGGCGAUACAUAAUCAUCAAAUUGGCUCCAGUCAACACAAUAGGUUCUUUUGAAAUUCCUGAUGCUGUAAAUCCACUCAAGUCCAUAAUGUAUUUUAUCCAUGGUAAAUUCCCUUCAACCCUUUCUGCAAUCUUCUUGCGUACUUCAUCAGUUGGCUUCCCAGAACCAAGCCAUAUCAUUACUAUCCUCCCAAUUUGGCCAUACGUCAGCUCACCCUUAGGGGGGAUGUUUUUGUUAAUAACCUCUUCUAGUAAAUUUCGCGAGAGCUCAGUCCUUCUCAGAGAAGUCAUAUUCUUGGUCAAAGACUUUUGCCACUCUAAAGGAAACACAUUGUGGAAGUAGUACUCCAUAGAUAGCUCAAGAGAUAUUUUCAGUGAAAGAGUAUCAUGAUACUUACGGUCAAGAUACUUGGACCCCAAAAGAAACUUUGCUACCUCAAAGAUAUAGAGGAGGAAAAGGCUUUGGCCAUAAGAGGAUGAGGCAUUCUUGAUUGCGAGCAUGUGAAGUAAUUCAAGAGUUUCCAACACCUUCAUGCCAACAGCAAGCAACUCUGAGCUCCAAUGACUUUUAGCAGCCGAAACAAACUGGCGAGCAUCUGCAAACACCAACUUCCCACUUCUCCAAAGAUACCUGUCAUCAAUCUCUCUCACCCAAUCAGCGUCAGGGAUGAGAAAAAGGUACUCAAAUAUAUGUUCAACCUUGUCCUUCCAAAGAUUCCAAAAGUACAUCAGUGUUCCAGCAGAAACAAGAUUAUGCGAAAUUCUCUCUCCUGAAUGUUUUAUCAGAUGAUCAUCAGCCAGUUCAUCUUCCCACGCAUACUUGGAG